AUACGGAGGGGGCUAGCGUUGUUCGGAAUCACUGGGCGUAAAGCGCUCGUAGGCGGAUCAGUCAGUCAGAGGUGAAAUCCCAAGGCUCAACCUUGGAACUGCCUUUGAUACUGCUGGUCUCGAGGUCGAGAGAGGUAAGUGGAAUUCCUAGUGUAGAGGUGAAAUUCGUAGAUAUUAGGAAGAACACCAGUGGCGAAGGCGGCUUACUGGCUCGAUUCUGACGCUGAGGAGCGAAAGCGUGGGGAGCAAACAGGAUUAGAAACCCUAGUAGUCC
rnacentral:rRNA from 1 species